AAGUGUUACAGCUCCUUCAGGAUUUGUCUAGCAGUUUCCCA
rnacentral:snRNA from 1 species